AUUGAACGCUGGCGGCAGGCCUAACACAUGCAAGUCGAACGAGGGGCGGACGGGUGAGUAAUGUCUGGGAAACUGCCUGAGGGAGGGGGAUAACUACUGGAAACGGUAGCUAAUACCGCAUACCAUCAGAUGUGCCCAGAUGGGAUUAGCUAGUUGGUGGGGUAACGGCUCACCAAGGCGACGAUCCCUAGCUGGUCUGAGAGGAUGACCAGCCACACUGGAGCUGGGACAAGGUCCAGCAUCCUACGGGAGGCAGCGGUGGGGAAUAUUGGACAAUGGGCGCAAGCCUGAUGCAGCCAUGCCGCGUAUAUGAAGAAGGCCUUCGGGUUGUAAAGUACUUUCAGCGGGGGGGCGUUACCCGCAGAAGAAGCACCGGCUAACUCCGUGCCAGCCGCCGCGGUAAUAC
rnacentral:rRNA from 1 species